GUUUUCUUUCUGCAGAUCCCUUUUCUGUGGAGUCUUUCCUGUGAACCUGGAUCUUUGGAUACAGCUCCAUUUGUUUUCAAGCAAAUGCUUUUCUUAUGAAAAAGAAAACUCCUGUUGUCAACUACAACAGUGGCGAAGAGCCUUUGUGCAGCUGCUUUGACUAUACACACAGUGAAAAGGAUAUUCACCACUGACUGACAUCAGUAAGGAGGAUUCUACAUGGCCUGCUUCUCUGCUGCCAGUCAUCCCUGUGGUCUGCACUAAUGACAUUAUCUCCCAGGAGAUCAUUAUUUGAUGAUUGCAUCCCAUCAUGGAUUGUUCUCAGUGACCCGAGUACUGCUGGAAAAUAUUAUGUUUGUAACACCUGCUACAUCCCCAUCUCCUGUUGGACAUUUGUUUCCCCCUUUGGCUUGAUGCUCUGCUACAUUUUCUGCAGUCUCUUCUCCUGUGUUACAAAGACAGUUUGGUUUCCUGGGUUAUAGCUGCCUGGGGCUACUGCUUCUAUCAAUACUGUCUCAUCUUUUCUGUAUCAGUGUUAUCUGAUGUGGUCUUAGAUCCUGCUAGCAUAUAAAUUACAUUGUUGAUUCUUGAUGGUUUCUAGCACUUUGAAUUGAGUUAUAGCUUUUACAAACAUGUGAUCUCGCUCUGAGAGGGAGCUCUGACAGCUUGUCAUUCCCAGAGUCUAUGACUGUCUUUUCUUAUAUUAAUCCAUGUUAUAAAGCCCAUUCUUUUGGCAUUAAGUGAGACCAUGAGCUACUGUAUUAACAUCCUCUACUGGUACUUCUUGGUUACACCUGUCAAUAUUGGUCAAAGGGCCUUACUCUUAGGCACUUCUCCUACCCACCUAAGUUUUAUCAUUUCUGCUUUUUCCCUUGUGGCUUUCUGACAUUAUUAUGGGAACUGCCUAUUCAGAUUUUACUCUGUUCUGCAAGUUGUUUUGUCUGCUUCAAAAUAUAGCUGAGAUGAAAAUUACAGUUAUUAAAAAAGAAUUUAAAAAUCGAUAUGUUUGUACAUAUGCUGUAUACUUCUAACAAAAUCACAGGGCUGCAUUUGCAUGUGGCUUACAUUAAGCUUUCAAUGCCUCCUGGAGGCUUUCUCAGAACUUUAUUAAAAUCAUGCACAUCAUUUUUUUUCGUAAUUGGAAAGAUAUUUGA